rnacentral:snRNA from 2 species
AGCCACACAAUGAGCACAUUGCGAACUAUUCUUUCGCCUUUUACUAAAGAAUAUUGUGUGUGCGUUGCAAAUAGUGGCAUACGCCAAUUUUUGGAGGAUUUUUGUCUUUUUGAGAAAU